CAUGUACUCCCUCCGUCCGGAAUUACUUGUCAUCAAAAUGGAUGAAAAUUGAUGUAUCUAAAACUAAAAUACAUCUAGAUACAUCCAUUUCAAUGACAAGUAUUUUCGGACGGAGGGAGUAAUUC
rnacentral:pre_miRNA from 1 species